GCAUGCCUAACACAUGCAAGUCGAACGGAAACGAUGGGAGCUUGCUCCCAGGCGUCGAGUGGCGGACGGGUGAGUAAUACAUAGGAAUCUACCCAGUAGUGGGGGAUAACUUGGAGAAAUCCAUGCUAAUACCGCAUAUGCCCUACGGGGCAAAGCAGGGGACCCUCGGGCCUUGCGCUAUUGGAUGAGCCUAUGUCGGAUUAGCUAGUUGGUAGGGUAAAAGCCUACCAAGGCUACGAUCCGUAGCUGGUCUGAGAGGAUGAUC
rnacentral:rRNA from 1 species